rnacentral:rRNA from 1 species
GGAUGUUGGCUUAGAAGCAGCCAUCAUUUAAAGAGUGCGUAAUAGCUCACUAGUCGAGUGACACUGCGCCGAAAAUGUACCGGGGCUAAACAUAUUACCGAAGCUGUGGAUUGUCCUUUGGACAAUGGUAGGAGAGCGUUCUAAGGGCGUUGAAGCAUGAUCGUAAGGACAUGUGGAGCGCUUAGAAGUGAGAAUGCCGGUGUGAGUAGCGAAAGACGGGUGAGAAUCCCGUCCACCGAUUGACUAAGGUUUCCAGAGGAAGGCUCGUCCGCUCUGGGUUAGUCGGGUCCUAAGCUGAGGCCGACAGGCGUAGGCGAUGGAUAACAGGUUGAUAUUCCUGUACCACCUAUAAUCGUUUUAAUCGAUGGGGGGACGCAGUAGGAUAGGCGAAGCGUGCGAUUGGAUUGCACGUCUAAGCAGUAAGGCUGAGUAUUAGGCAAAUCCGGUACUCGUUAAGGCUGA